rnacentral:lncRNA from 1 species
AGUCGUGCUUGAGAGUGAGCCUUUUGAAGACAUAUUCACCCGGCCUAGCCUCUGGGCUAGCCAGCCUAUGAAGAUUGGUCAGGUGGUCACUCAUCUUCUUGAGGAGUUUCUCUUCCUCAUCUAGGAAGUGACUCUCCAGGGAGCAAGAGAGAUGGGAUUAUGUGUGAGUAGAACUGAGGGUAUGAAGAUCCGAAAGGGCCUGAUUUAGUUUUUUCUCCAGGCUAUGGUGGCUUCCGUCGCGUCC